UUUCCUGUUUGUCCUGCAGAAGAAGAGCCCAGCGACGCCGGCAGCAGAGUACAAGAAGACCGACGAAGCUCAGCCCGACGUGAAGGAGGAGGAGGAGGAGGGAGGUGGAAGAGGAGGAGGAAGAGGAGGCUGUAGAGGCAGAGAAGAGCAGUCCAGCUGCAGAAGAGAAGAGCGAUGGAGUAGAAAGUCCUGCAGAAAAAGAGGAAGCGGAGAAGGAGGCGACGGAUGAUGGCGAGAAGCUGGAGGACGACGUUCUGCGGAGAUCCCCCAGGAACCGGGUCAGAAGGGACUGAAAUCUCUGAAUCCACAGCCCUGACCUCGACCCCUCCCUCCUUCCCUCCCCCUCCUCUCGUUCCCUAAAACUCCUCCCUUCUCCUCCUCACGUCCUCCUCCUCUGCUCCGAGGCGACGACGCCUAAAUGGAACCCGUGGAAGCAGCGAAGCCGACAGGAAACCAAUCAAGCCCUCCGAUAUGGACGCCUGAUGAAGAUGAUUCCAGUAUGAACCGGACUGACUUAGUGUGAUUAAAGGAUUUUUGUUUUUUGAAAGAGAUUAUCUAAAAAACCUUCCUGCAUCAUUCCUUAACAACACCUGAGCAGACUCGAACCCACGGGAUCUACGCGUCCCGUCCGAUUCACAGCCCACCGCCACCCUGAGCUAGCAAGUGCCCCGCCCCCCUACCAACAGCCUGCUAAUUGGCCCACAGCAGCUCGCUAAUUAGCCUCCUGACAGACACGCAUGUUGCUUUCACAAUCUGACGUAGCAUGAUCCUGUUUGGGCGGCUAACAGACUUAGCUAAUAACAAACCAACAGGAUGCUAAUGAGGCAGGAUAACCAUCAAAAAAAACAACUUAUUAGCCUAGUGACAGGCAGAGUUUGGCUAGCAACAGUCUGAUGUCGCCAUCUUCCUGCUCGGGCUACCUACUGUCUGCUAAUUAGCCAACUAUCAGGGUGCUUAUUAAGCUAACAGUAGUCUGGAAGUCACCAACCAAAAGUCUUGCCAGUUAGCUGCUAAUUAGCCAACAAAGCUGAGUCAUUAGGGAGUUUGUAAAAUUAUCCUAUAAAAUGGUGGUUGAAUGAAUCUACCAAAAGUGUUUUAGCUUGCUAAUUAGCUCCAGAGCAACUAGGUAGUACAUUUGGCUACUUGUACUACAGUGUUUUUAAAGUAGCAUCAGUACUAUCAUCAUACUUAAACCUACAAACAGUCUAAUUAGCCUAACAGCGAGGGCUGCUAACAAGCCUGCAAAUAAUGCAAUCUACUUAUCAACAACUAGCAAACAUUAGCCUGCUAAAAAGCUAAUUCACCUACUAACAGCUGAUUCAUUAGCCUUCAGCCAGCUAGCGUCGUAGAGUAGCCCACAAGGUAAAGGUGUGGCGCAGCAGGCGACGAGUAGAGACAAUUAAGUGGGAACACUCCAGCUGCCACCGUUUCUUCCUUUUUCAUCUAAUUCUUUGUCAUUUUAAGUGUUUUUUGUUCUGAAGCUUCACGUUCGCACCACCACGAACACGCAGCGCUCAUGUUUUACUGUCCUGAAGGCGGCGGGGGGGGGUCAGAGGUCAGCCGGGUCGGACCGCGGAGCCUGAGCGGUACAGGUGAGCGACAGGUGUUUGUUACCUGGUUUCUGGCAGCAGCAGACUCCAAAGUCCAGUUUAAACCCACGUACCCCUCAGCACGAAAAGCUUGUAUCUCCAGUUGUUGAGACAGGCUCGUGACACUUUGAGAUACGAGGUUUUCACUCUCCUGUAGUCCCAUUAUAUUUUCUUCGUGAGGUCGGUCCGAACAAACGCGACGGCGGCUCGUUAGCUCCUUAUGUCCCUGAGUUCAGUCUCCCAGGCAGAAUUAUGUUUUGAUAAGCAAACUGUGUUCUUGUUCCUUCCCGUUCACGUUCCUUCGCUCGAUAAAACAAGCUGCUGUCGCCUUCGUUCGGACUUCAGACGUGUCGCGUCGGCAGGUGGACAGACACUCGGUCCCUCUUUCAUCAAACCCCAUAUGAAAAGAAAAAGGCACUACGGGAAAAACUCAGGCGCUUAAACUCACACCUGUCCACCUGCGGCGCCGCCAAAACCUCCACCAAUCAGACGCCGCCCUCCUCCUCCUCCUGCUGUAAAUGGAUCCUGAAUGUCAGAGUUUCGCCCCAUGUUUUUAAGAGACGGCACUUGUGUGAAAUUCAUUCGUGACUUUGGAAAAAAUAUCAUUUUCGACAAAAACUCAACUCGAAGUCUGUCGACUAAACUCCAGAGCUUCCAGCUGCAUCUCGUGGCGUUUAAAUCUGUGACGAGAGAUCAGCUGAGCCAACUUUAAUCCUCUGAUGAAGCCCGUGAGAUGACGGUGAAAGACAAAGUUUAUUAAAUGUAUUUAACUUUAAAUUAGUUUUGGCGGAGUCGUCUGCUGCUGCCUGGCCACUUCCUGUUGGGGGCGGCUGCGGGUCACAUGACCUCAGGUACAGGCUGAGAAAUGGCCGCCAGUCACGCCUGAAAGCAGUGUUGUGUUUCGUUUGUCCGUUCGUCCAGCUGUCGACCCAGAGGUACCUCAGCGAUGUUGGCGACACCCUGAGCUUCCUUCUAGCGCCGCCGUCAGGACUUUGCACGCCAUAUUUCCUGUCCACUCGUGGUAAAACUCACGCAAGGAAGUCGUGAUGAUGAGAAAUAAUCCCACAAACUUGGUCUGUGAAGAUGCGACCGUGGGUUCGGUGUCCUCAUUGUUGUGUUCGUCAUGAAAUGGGAUUGUUGACGCUGAAGAGACGAGCGCCGCUGUACAGUACGAGAGUUCAUCGCCUUUUUAAGAAGUCGGUGUUGAAACAUUCGUCCCGUCUUGUUCUCCUCGAAGUGACUGUUACGUGUUUGUCUUUUUGUCCUCGCUGUACCAAACUUCAGUUUUCCAGAACGUUUAAACAGCUGAAAAUACGUCGUCUGUCAAAAAGUCUGUUUUAAAUACAGGUGGCUCUUCUCACCUAUCAUGAGCGAGCUUUGCCGUGAUUGGCCGCCACGUGAUGAGUUUUAAAGAGUCUGUUUGUGGGUUCAGAUUUCGGGGCCUCGAGGCGAACUGGGGGUGCCUGCCUCCAUGUCAGGUGACCUUUUAACCUUAUUUUUGCUCUUGGAGUGAAGUCGGGUUCAGGCUGCUUUGUUUGUGUUUUUUAGUCUUUAUUUUCCUCCUGUGCCGUCGCUCUAAAGCUGAAGAGUAAGAACACGACGCUUCAGGACAGAGUGAACGUCUCGCUCGCCCUCCCUCCCUCCUGUUUUCCUUUUUAGUCUCAGAUUCUGUUCUUCUCCCUGAAGCUGCCUCGCUAACAGACUGUAGACUGAACACUGUACCUGCUGGUGAAACUUUACACGACUCUGUAACGCUGUACUUGUUUUUUUUUUGUUGACAUUGUGUUUGAACUAAACCCUAAACUGUUGGCCCGGCCUGUUUCUGAUGUGCACACUAUGUAGAGAGGUGGACCUGCCGACGCGCCGCGCCAGGGUCCAGCUUCGAAAUGAAAUACUGUGAUGACGGAGGCCGAUGUGUGUGUGGACAUGCAGUCAACGUUUGUUUUGAUGAAUAAAAAGGCCAAAUGGAAACUGAA